rnacentral:rRNA from 1 species
GUGGGAUGACGUCGAAUCAUCAUGCCCUUAUGACCUGGGCUACGACACGUGCUACAAUGGUUGGUACAACGGAGUUGCGAGUCGGUGACGGCGGAGCUAAUCUCUUAAAGCCAAUCUCAGUUCGGAUUGUAGGCUGCAACUCGCCUACAUGAAGUCGGAAUCGCUAGUAAUCGCGGAUCAGCACGCCGCGGUGAAUACGUUCCCGGGCCUU